GCCGGAGUGGUGAAAUUGGUAGACGCAGGGGACUCAAAAUCCCCCGCCUGAAAGGGCGUGCCGGUUCGAUUCCGGCCUCCGGCACCA
rnacentral:tRNA from 1 species